GUGAGGCUUUCAGGAGUUUCACUUGUUUCUUUGUUUUGAUUUCUUGAGGGUUUGCAGGAUUCUUUGUUGGGUUUUGGGCUUUGUGUGUGCGUGUUUUAACAUGUAUACUGAAGUGCUCCUCAUUUUGAUGUUCUGUUUGAGUUUUUUCAGUGGACAUGUGGAGCUUCUACCCAUCAUUUAUGAAAAGGCCUUGAGGAACUUCUACAGGAUAUGGUAUUAUGGUCCUUGAGUUUAUGGACUAUAAACUUUUUUUCCUUUCUUUAAGGAAAAAUAGUCUAAGUUGACAGAAAUUGUAAAGCAUGAAGUCCUGGCUCUCUGGGGAGGUCCCAGAUGAUUGGAAGUUGGUGAAUGUCACAUGAAUCCAGAAAAAGGGCGAGAAGGAGGACCUGGGAAACUACAGACCUGUCAGUCUGACCUCAGUGCCUGGCAGAGUUAUGGAGCAGAUCAUCCUGAGUGCAAUCACACAGCACCUACAGGAUGGACAAGGGAUCAGAGCCAGCCAGCACGGGUUUAGGAGAGGCAGAUCCUGUCUGACCAACCUGAUCUCCUUUUAUGAUCAGGUGACCUGCCUGGUGGAUGAGGGGAAGGCUGUGGAUGUGUCUGUCUGGACUUCAGCAAAGCCUUUGACACUGUCUCCUGUAAUAUACUCCUGGAAAAGCUGGCAGCCCAUGGCUUAGACAGGGGCACUCUGUGCUGGGUUAAGAACUGGCUGGAGGGCAGUUGCAUUUAAUAUAGUCUUCAACAGAAUUUCUGUAAGUGAUUCUAGCUGAGAAUCUGUCCCAGUGUUUUCUCAUUCUAGUACUGUCUUCACAUUUAAGAGAGUUUUCAAACAAGAAUGUUAAAAAAUAAUAUUACACAAUAAAAUUUUAUGAUUUCUG